UUACCUUUGUAUGAGCUGGUUCUCUUUCACAUUGAUUCAAGCUUGUGCAAUCAUGGGUGUCUUCUGACUCACAGAGAUCCUUUGUUAUCUGAGUCCAUGGAUUAAAGCCAGUGGUCUGGCCCUGGUUCUUGGGCAUAGGGUUACGUUCAGUGCCUGGCGCUUUGAUGCCGAGGUCUUUCAUUGGAGGUCCCACCGAGAUUUCUGCCCCAGAACCACCAGUGCCACCAGGAGCCUUCUUGGGUCCCCUAACUUCGUCCCAAA